GCCUCAGGAUGCUAAUGUGUGCGCGGACUUCGGCAUGGGCUCGUGUUACCUUUGGCUUUCUUUGCAGGUGGAGACGACUUGUCCUCCGGUCCAGCAAGGCAGCACAUUAUCCACACCGCAAUAGUGUUUUACAGAAAAACCUACCGUUUAGCGGUGCAAUCAGUUCAUUUACUGCACCGGGAACGGGUCCCGAAAUUACUUCAAGAUUCCGCUCCAGUUUAGACGUUCAGGUAUCCAGAAAAAUCAGCAUGUCGUCUACUGCGAUGUGCCAAAGAAUGGUUUGGGUGGACCUAGAGAUGACAGGUCUGGACAUCGAGAAGGACCAGAUCAUUGAAAUGGCAUGCAUUAUCACAGACUCUGACCUGAACAUUUUGGCUGAGGGGCCCAACUUGAUAAUUAACCAGCCAGACAAGCUGCUGGAAGGGAUGUCAGAGUGGUGUAAAGAGCAUCAUGGAAAGGAUGAAUCAACAGGCCCCACUCUGGAAGCUGAAACAACUGAAUGACAAGGAAUUGGGUUUUUUUUUUGCAUGUCUGAAAGGACCCCUGCAGAGAUCACCAAACCCUUCUUAUUUCACAUUAUCACAGUUACAGAAAUUAUGACUAACUCUGGAUUGGUUGAAAUACAAUACAGCAGGAGGAAACAGCCUGUGAACUGGCAUUGUUUAUAUUUUCACGUGUAACUCAGGAAUUAUUUUCACAGGGCAUUAUGAGGGAGGGACUUAAAUAUGUCAGACUUCAAGAGAUUUUCCCGGUAAAAGAAAUAAAUAAACAGAUAAAUUACAUUACCCCCCCACACACACACACAACUGAAUAUUAAAUUUAACAGUCUAGUGUAUGGAUUUUUGCAAUUCGAAUAGAAAUUCUAAUUUAGAAUAUUUGUUGACAUCCCUAACCCAUGCUAAUUUAUCAGUUCUUGGCUGCAAGAACACAGAAGUCUUUACCUACUCCCACCAUCUGAGGAAGUGGAUUAGCUUGCUGGAAAUGUCCCCGCAACAACAGGGAAACUUUAAGGCUAACAGUCACAAUGUUGUGUGUGCACUAAUCAUUUUACUUGACGAUUUGCUUCUCAACUGAAGCUCAAAAAUGGAUCCAUUCCAACUUAGAACCAGAAGGUUUUUCCAUUUUAUGUUGUUUUACUGUUUUUUGCUGGUUAGCUUGUUGAAUUUGGUGUUAGCAUGUUCUGCAGCAAAUGUGGCUACUCGCAUUUAUUGCAGACCCACACGCUGGAGCAAUGUUGGAAUAUUUAAUAUUGAGGGAGAGUCAAGAGAAACUGUUUGAACAGUCAGCCUCAUUUGAAGCCAAUUAUAUAAACAGAGUAGUAGCGUGAAUGUGGGGAAACUUUUCUCAUGUAGCUUUUUGUGUAGUGUCACAUAACCAGACCUAGCAUUAUCUUCACACUUCAUACUGCAACGCAAGUUCAGCUGGUUUUCUCGUUACAGAAAACCCACACUGCUGCGUGCUGUGUCAGCAUCUGUUUCUGUUGCUGCUGUAUGAAAAUGUACUUGAUUGACAUGCCCCAUGGUGCACUGACUAAUUCACUUAUAUACUUGGGGUUUUCUGCCAAAGUAUAUUUUGUCGGUUUGUGUCUGUCAGUGUUGGGCGGUUGCAGCACUAAAAGUGGCAUUGCUAGUUAAACUACAUUUCUCAGUAGCAUGGUGAUAGUCACUGUUUUCUGUAUCACAUAGCUUUUCAGUAGCUCAGUUCUUUUUUUGAAGUGUUGUGGUUGCAUCAAAACACUAUAUUUUCCCAAGCUUUUCUGAAGCUCAAAUGCAGCAAGAGAAUAAGUCUAUUUCCCAAAAUAGCAAACCAGUCCUUUAGAAUUGUGCAUAAGAGCAGGUGUGAAUUGAAAGUGUAACUGUGUCUCAGUCAGGAUUGACCCAGGCUGUACGGGACAGUAAAAUCACAUUGGAACAAGCUGAGUAUGAGUUCCUGUCCUUCAUCAGACAGCACACCCCACCUGGCCAGUGUCCCCUUGCUGGUAACUCUGUGCAUGCAGACAAGAGGUUCUUGGACAA